GUUUACUCUGUGGUGCAGCUAUGAACAGUAUUUACCCCGUUAUACUAAUGUCAACACUUUUAACUCAAAACUUAUGGGUUCAAUGGUAGGAUGUGAGUGAGUGAGUGAGUGAGUGAGUGUGUAUGU